GAUUUAAACUGAAAAAGUCAUUAACAACAAAGUUGUAUAACUCACCAAUAUCUAUAACUUUUAUUUUGAUCAUUUCUUCAUCCGACAAAGUGAUAGUUACAUUGUUCACAAAAUUUAUAUAUCUCUCUUAUAAAACCAUAUAAGAGAUGUAAAUUUUGUGAACAAUGUUACUAUCUCUUUAUCGGAUGAAGAAAUGGCCAAAAUAAAAGUUAUAGAUAUUAGUGAGUUAUAAAACUUUGUUGUUGAUUACUUUUUCAGUUUAAAUU
rnacentral:pre_miRNA from 1 species